UGCAAAUUUAUAUAAUAUUAAAGAUAAAGGUUAGUGGCUUUUGCCACCUAUCCGUUCUCUCUUAAUAAUGUCGUUAGAAGUCUGUUUGCAAAAGAGUAAUCAUGUGUUCUUCACAUCAGAGAAAGAAAGACCCUAAUCCAAUUCCACUGUAUCCCUCGACGUCCUCUGCAUCCUUUCUCUGCGUUUUGAAACGUCGAUCCCUUCAAUUUCGGUUCUGGCGAACCCUACAUUGGAAUCCACGUUUGAUGCUUGUCGUCUGAAAUUAGGGCUCUGACACGUAUGUUUCUAGUGCGUGUACGGUGACGGUGGUGGUUUUUGUGGAUUAAAAAGUUACGGCGGCUAAGGUUUUCGCUGUUUUUGUUAUCCCUCAUGUGCUCUUUCUCUCUCUCUCUCUCUUCCGCGAAAUAUUUGCCCCUAUCAUCAUCAGUCAUUUGUCGGGUUCGAUUACGGAACCCUUGGUGGCGAUGGACGUGGUCGCUGUUAAAGCUGGGGUGUAGUGGCGGUGGUUAGUGAUGGUUGCUAAAGAGGUUACGACUUUCAUCACCUUGAAGAAGAUGGCACUCUCUGUUUUCUUGCUUCAAAAUCCGGCUACGAUUGUGUUGUUGUCUUAUCUGCCUAAAUAGUAGAUGAAAUUCAAGCAGAAAUGGAGACCAAAGCAACCAUGGUGCAAUGCCGAGUGGGCCUGCGAAGUUGGCAGAUUUCAUGGAAGAAGAAAGUUGCAAAGAGGGGUCCAGAGGUGAGUUUAAUCUGAUUUUUUUUCUCUGUUUCACCAAUGUAUUGUCAUUUCCCCUCUCAUUUUCACUCUUUUCUUCUACGUUUGAUGUGGGUUUUGCUCAAUUUACGUUUGUUGAACUGGGUUUUGCUUGCUUUGUGAUUAUGGAAAUCCUUUGCUCUCGCUAUCUUACGACCAUUGCUUUUGUCAUUAGUUAAUACACCCAGCAAUAUGGCUCAAUUUUGGCUCCUAAAAUGGUUUUCUUCAUGUGUAAUUGUUGUGCACACCAAAUGUUUGGAUAAUUGCUUUCCUCAAUUCAUGUUUGUUAGGGUUUAGGCUUAUGUAUUAAUGAAGAUUUUGCGCCUAUUUGGUAUGAACAACAAGUUGUUGGAUUUUUCU